rnacentral:rRNA from 1 species
CGGGUGAGUAACGCGUGGGUAACCUGCCUCACACAGGGGGAUAACAGUUAGAAAUGACUGCUAAUACCGCAUAACCCGAUAGGAUCGCAUGAUCCAGACGGAAAAGAUUUAUCGGUGUGAGAUGGACCCGCGUCUGAUUAGCUAGUUGGUGAGGUAACGGCCCACCAAGGCAACGAUCAGUAGCCGGCCUGAGAGGGUGAACGGCCACAUUGGGACUGAGACACGGCCCAA